CUGAGUGCGAGCAUCGCGAGAGUUGGAAACUGGAGGCGAGAUUCAACAUGGCGGUGCCCUGUUACUGAGAGAAGACAGCAAAUACGUAAAACUAAUAGCUCAAAAUAAGAAAUUAAAAAGACAUUCUGAUUCAGUCUGCAUUAUUCAUCCAUCUGCAACCACCAACCCGGAACAACACAUCACCACAGAGGAGGAAUAACCGAGCUCGAAGCAUUCAUCCACCUGUCACAGCCUGCAGACCAGCGUGGACCUGGACUCAGCCAACCCAAACAAACGACCGACAGCAGACUCUUCAACGGACACCGAUGAUCUACAAACCACUGACAUCGAGGAGUGGAGCACGACGGCCCUGAGCACGUUCAGGAGGAGCAGGAGGCCGUCUGUGCAAUGAGCUUGAUCUUGUGGAUGGAGAACAUUGGGUGGAUGGAGGAGAUCAUGUGGAUAACUGAGAAGCUGGAAAUGGAGCUGAUGCAGGAGCCAUAUGCUUAACUACAUCAGCUAUUCUACCGAGGCGGCGCAUUAACACUUCCAGGCAGUUCAGGCGUCUGUUGAGGCUUGAGAUUCCCAGCUUCAGGCCACCUAGCUCCCUCUCCGGCAUCCGAAAACCAGCCUGCUGGAUUUCAAGAAAAGGAUGGUCCCCCCCGUCCGGAUGAGGCCUCAUUGCGCCCUGGUUCCUCUCAGCUGUCCUCUGGGCUGACCUCUGAACUCUCCUGUGGGUCUCGACGUCUCCUCCUCCAUUAUUUCUCCCUCCACCACUCCCCCCUGUUUCUGCAUACUGGUUCCAGCCUCUGUUUGUUGUUUCAUGUUAAACUUAAUAAAAAGUUGCUUCACUAAA